AUACCAGAAGCCUCCACCCUACUAGAAGCCUCCAUCCUACCAGAAGCUUCCCUGGCCUCAUUGGUAACAGUUUCCUCCUCACUCCAUCUUCUGAUUCACGUGCUCUCAACAUCCUUCCAGUCUCAGCAGGCUGGACCAGACAUCUAGAUGUCCCUUAACCCAACCAGGAUGACAUCUUUAAUCAGCAGUUACCACUCUCCUUCUAGCCCUUCAAGGUAACCCGAGCUACAUGUCCAUUGCCUACUAAUGAUCCCUUCUCCCUUCAUUUCUUCCCUAUUGUCUUAGUCAGCAUUUCUAUUGCUGUGAAGAGACUCCAUGACCACAGCAACUCUUAUAAAGGAAAACACUUAACUGGGUCUGGCUUACACUUCAGAGAGUUAGUCCAUUAUCAUCAUGGCAGGCAGCAGGACUGCAUGCAGCAGACAUGGUGCUGGAGAAGGAGACUACGGAUAGUCAUGAUGGAUCCCAUGAGUAUGCUCCCUUCUAUGGCAAACCUCAGCUGAGUCUUCACAAGGGGUUGUCUCAAGAGAACACACUUACAAUGCUUGUGUGUUUUCUCACAGCUAACCUGUGACUGGAUCAUCAAUCAUCGUUGGGCUUCCUGUCUUAAUACUGCCCAUCACAAAAUUCCAGAGUAUAGCAUUCUAAACUCCAUAUCCCCAUAUGGUUUUUAAGACACGGUUUUCAAAACAUGUUGAAUUUAACAAGUACAUCUGCUACAUGCUAUAUUUUUAUCUGGUUUGUUCUCCAAAGGUCUCAUCUAUACUGUAAGCUUUGGUCCCCAGAGUGUCACUAUUAGGAGAUGGGGGAUAUUUAGUAGAGGGACACAAAAGAAAGACCUUAGUCAUUGAGAGCAUGCCCCAAAAAGUUAUUAUGGGUCCGUGUGGUCUCUUCCUCUCUCUCAUUUGUUUUCUGUCCAGAAUGUACAUGGUUUUGCUCCACCAUACCAUCCUACAUGGACCAAAGCCAUGGGGCCAAUUGAUCAGAAACCAAAACCUCUGGACACUGUGGGAUGAAAUCAGUAUUUUCUCUUUAUAAGAUGAUCACCUCAGGCAUUCUGUUACAGUAUGUUUCAGACGUAACAUACUACCUUAGAGGAUAACUAACAGUCUGGGCCAGCAGGGACCACCCAUGCUUUCUCUUGCUGCAACCCCCAGAUCUGCAGUGAGUGUCAUUGUGUGAGUUAGCUUAAAUCAGCUGAGAUGUGAAGGUUUUAGAAACUGUUGUGGGAAAUGGACACCUCUCAAAGUCUCCCAGGCACGGCGGUGCUACAGGAGCAUAUGGAGCCACUGCUGGAGGUCAGAGCUGCCUGGCUAAUGUGAUGUCUGUGUGAGCAUGAGCCUUGCCCGGGCUUCUGGCUCUCCACAGGGGGAAAGGAAAAACUGGGACGCGUCAAGGAACCUUGCCUUUGGUGUGGGAGGAUUGCGCUGCCCCUCCUCCCCCAUCCCUGCAUCCUGGAACAGAAAGAAAGAGACACUCCUGUCUUCCAGCUUGAAGGGAAAGAAAAAAUACAGAGAGAGAGAGGGAGAGAGAGGGAGAGAGAGAGAGAGAGAGAGAGAGAGAGAGAGAGAGAGAGAGAGAGAGAGAAAAUACUUUGUGGCCGGCUUGAGUAGGCAUUAGCCAUCUUACUCUGUUCACAGCCACACCCUGCAGCUUGCAGCCUGCAAGCUGAGCCACCUUGUACAGGUCAUCUCCCUUAUUCAAAGUCUUGUCUUGAAUACGAAGGAGGUAGUAACAGAGGCAGCAACUCUGGACAACCCUAGCGUGUGUAUGCCUGAGUUUGAAAAAUCACAGUCCUAGGUGGUAUAGAGUUUUGCUCUUCUGAAGAAGCCCAAGCCUUCCUCUUCAGAAAUUCAAUGGGACUGGGUGGUGCCUCUAACACCAACCCUCCAGGAAGCAGAAGACCCCAGAGUUGUAGGGUUCCUUCUUGGCAACCUCAGAGCAAAGACACAAAGUCCACCCCUACCCCCAAACCCAAUCUUACCCCCAUCCCCACCCCAUCUCAUACUAGGAAUUAUCAGAGGAGAGAUGCGUGAUGACAUCAGAAUGCUUGAGAUCCAUCAUCUACAGGCUGUCCCUCUGCACACACAGCCUUCCGAGUGUGAGCUUUUGGGGCACAUUUGAAACCAGACUAUGACAAUGGGAGAAGCUUAAAGCCUGGCUGAUAAGCCAUCACCGAUGCUAAGGGUGACGGUGGCCUUAGCAAGACACCAUGUGAGCUCUGUGCAUAGUUGCUUUUACCCCCUUAAAACAAACGUUCAGGGGAGGUGAGUGUGGCUCAGUCGGCAGAGCGCUAGGCUAGCACGUCUACCCUUGCAGUACUCGGGAAACGGGGGUGGGAGAUCGGAAGCUCAAGACCAUCCUUGGCUCACAUGAAGCUUAAGAUCUGCAUAGGCUGCAUGAGAUCCUGUCUAAAAAAAAAUAGUUACAAAUGUCUAUCUCCUCAGCCACAGAGCUAAUGGCUGGUUAAUUAACGCUGUGCUUCUUUCUCUUUCUAUAUGGCUGAGCAGUUUGUUCUCAUAUGGAACUUUCUCUCACUGACCCAGCUCUGACGUUAUGUAGCUAUUUUUGGAAAGACCAUAUCACAAGUUGUUUUUUUUUCCCCCCUUUGAACCCAAAGUGUUAAUGUAUUGGUUUAAGAUCUACUUCAAGGAGGGGCAUGAGUCUUUCCCUAGCUUCCAGGUUUCUGUGGGUCCUCAUAAACUUGUGGGUUCUCACUAAGGACAAAUUAAAUGUCUGCUGGAGCAUGCAGUGUGUGCCAGUCCCCUGCAAACUACAGGUGCAGCCUCCUGUGUUCAGAUCAGCAUCCUCUGGGUAUGAUCCCGUUCCUGAGAACUUACAUAGCACGAUAACAGCCACACUGCCCUGCAGCCUCGCCUUCUCAAAGUGACUGCUUAACCAACACCGUAGGAAACCGUAUGCAGUCAGGCUACUCUCAGUGUGCCCUAUGAACCACAGCGAAGGCACAAGCUUGAACGCUGACCGUGGGCUUUGCUGUCUCCUGCACUCUGGGAUGAAAAAUAUUUGGAGUGGUCUCUGGUGAGCUCUAAAUCUCAAGCUCUCCUUGGUCUCUGAAGACAUAGUAGUCUUGAGAGCCAAGAUUUGUGUAGACAGAAAAGAAGCAUCUAACUUGGAGAUGUCCCUCGCUAGCUAAAAUUAGCACUAGGAGGCCAGAGCCAGUCACUGACUCCCAGAUCUCAGUCUGUGGUUGGGACGUGGAGUAUGAGGCAGAGCUAGAGGAGGCAGCACCUUGGCUCAGCCACCAGGAGGACACUGACGUAACAUAUGGGCAGCUGCCAGCAGGACCAGCGAUGUGGCCUUUACCUCAAUCUCUCUAUCUCUCAUGAGUGUGGCCCUAGAUCUCCUAAGGAAGCCCCAUCUAUGCCCCAUGUCACUGGGAUUAAAACCUGCCAAAAGUGGAUAGUUGAACCAUGAAGACAGAUCUGCAGCAUUUUCUUAGCCUUAGAGGACACUAGGACAAGCUGUGCUAUGUGUAUGUGUGUGCUAUAUGUAUACACACACACAUACCACACACACACACACACACACAUACCACACACACACACCCCACAUACACCACAUACACACCACACAUACACACACAUAUAUACAUACAUACACCACACACACAUACAUACACAUUCAUUACAACACACACAUACAUACAUGCAACGUACACUCACAUCACACACACAUACACACCACACACAAAGAUAUACAUACAUACACCACACACACAUACAUACACAUUCAUUACAACACACACAUACAUACAUGCAACGUACACUCACAUCACACACACAUACACACCACACACAAAGAUAUACACAUAUACACCACAUACACAUACAUACAUACAGACACACACACACACAAAACCUCAAUUCUGAAACACAAAUGCUGGGAGUGCAAUGCAAAUAUUGCUAUUACAAUAAAAUCUCCAGUAUUUUAUUUUAUUUUAUUUUCCCAAGAGAGAUGGAAAACGAGAAGAGAUGGGAAGCCACAGCCUUCAGAUUGACCCCAGCUGAGUACUGGGAGCCACAGUAGCACACCCAGCCCAGUCUACCUCUGCUGUGGCCUCCCAUGCGGCCUCCCAUCUGGCCCAUGAGCCAAGCUGGUGGGGGUUAACCCUUCAGCCCAGGCUCCACGGAAGCCGCCAGUGGGCUCGUGUGCUAUAAACUAUCCUUCACGGUGACUCCUUUGUAGUGCUCAGUAAAUCUUACACUUCUAUUUCUUUGGCCAUUUAUUUUCAUAAGAACAAAAGGCUGGGAGUUUUCCAUCCUCCAGACCCUGAAAUCAGCACCUCCCUGAUGUCCCACCCAGCAAAUCAGGUUCUAGGUCUCACCUGGGUGGAAAUCGUGAAAUGAAACGGGGAGGGAUUAGCAAGCUGUACAUCAUGAUUCCGGGCCUGCAGCUCCAACUACCGGCCUGCGCCAACCAAAAGUACCUGUUAAACUUUCUCUGUCAGCGUGGCUGUUGUGGUCUUUGCCAGCUCUGGUCCUCUGCUCUCUCUGAUCUGAAACCAUCAUUCAAUGGCACUUCUUCCUGUUCCUCUUGGUAUAUGAUGAAUGGGGAACGUUAAUUCUGUAUGGGGGAGGGUCAACUACCCAGUGCUGUUAGAGACACUUCGUUUGUUGACGUAACCCUCGGUUUACAGAAAAUUGAGCGUAAAGCCCAUAGUUCCAUGCUCCCUCAGCACCACACGGCUCCAUCUUGCUUUCACACAAUGCGUUUGUCCCAGGCUAUGUCAUGACAGGCUCGCUAUUCCUACCUGAAGUCCACGCUGUGUGUGAGCGUUUGCUCAGCAUGGCGUGGCUGUGUGUGUCCUUGUCCUGACAGAAGCACACAAACAGGGCUACUGCUGCAAAGUCCUCUGUGCCUGCCUCGUUACCCCUCCUGAGUCCCUGGCCCCCACUCAUCUUAGUGGCAUUUCCAGGACACCAUAAAGCUAGGAUCACCCUGGAAGGCCCCCUUGGGUCCCUUGGCAUCAUCUUGCCACACUCGUUUUUAACUCAACUGUAGCUCCCCAGCCCUACUCAUCUGUCGGAGGACAUCUUGGCAGCUUCUAGUUUGGGGCAAGUAUGAACUAAACUUCUAUAAAACUUCUUGUGUCAUUUCGUUUGUUUUAUAUGAAGAGAGGAACUGUUUAACAAUUUUUUUAAAAUAAAAGCAUCCCAGUAGGUGCUACAGCCAACACUCAUACUCCUGCAUCUCGUUGAGAGAUUAUUAAACUAGGAAAUGAAAGUUAUCUCAGUGGUCACAUGGCAGUGGCUAAGUCUUUACUAAAUCACACACACUUGGGGACAACAGAUUUGAUUCUAGAUACCAGAGCCAAAUGCCUACCCGCUAUACAAAGGGCAUUCAGGAGAGACAGACAAGCAACUGCAGAGUCCAAAACAGUAGGGGUUGGUAUUUCUAAAGCAGUCUUUCUCAAUCUGUGGGUCGAGACCCCUUUGGGGAUGUCUAACAACCCUCUCACAGGGGUCACAUAUCAGAUAUCCUACAUACCAGACGCUUAUAUUACAAUUUGUAACAGUAGCAAAAUUACAGUUAGGAAGCAGCAACAGAAAUGAUUCUAUGGCUGGGGGUCACCACAGGAGGAGGAACCAUAUUAAAGGGUCUCAGCAUUAGGAAGGUUGAGAACCACAGCUCUAGCACCGAGAGCAAGGAGGCAACUGCCAAUGUUUGCAUCGGACCUGGGCUUCCUCUAUCCCUUUGCCCUUACACCCUCAUGACCUUACCUUCAUCCUGGACAUUGCUGGCUUCAGGCUGAGCAUGCUGGAAGGCUGAGACCAAGAACAGCUCCUAUAGUGCAUUAAAUGUCUCCAGAAGGGCUGGCGAAAUGGCUCAGUGGUUAAGAGUACUGACUGCUGCUCUUCCAGAGGUCCGGAGUUCAAUUCCCAGCAACCACACAGUGGCUCACAACCAUCUGUAAUGAGAUCUGAUGCCCUCUUCUGGUGGGUCUGAAGAUAGCUAGGAUGUAUUCACAUAAGUAAAAUAAAUAAAUAUAUUUUUUUUAAAAAAAAAAUGUUUCCAGAAGCAACUUUCUGCCACCUCUGGAUGUCAAGGAGGCAGGGAAGGCUCCUGUUUUCAAAGUUCUGCGCUCGAGGCAAUUCAGGGAGAAGCCACUGGGGAAUGGCUCAUGCAUCCGCUGAUCCAGGUUUUGCUGCUCAGCAAAUAACGAGCAGCAGGCAGCCCACCCACUCCACCUGGGUCCACUCCGGCCUGUUCUAGUUUGCCCCACAUCUUUAUGAGCCUCUCUUUGCUACCCCGGAUCAGCCCAGCCGGGCAGCAAGGCUGAGAUUAGUUACUGGGCUCCAUGGCUCCUCCUAACUGAUGGGGCCUCCAUGCACUGCCUCCUGCGUCGCUGUCUCUUAGUGUGUGUUUCCUUCUCUGCCUGACAUUGAAGGCCAUGCACUGUGAGUAAGGCUGUAGGGAAGGAAAGGGUGGAGGUGUGCGUAGUUCAUCCACCGGUGUUCUGUUUCCUGCUCCAUCUCCUUGCCUCGUACCUAGAGCUUUGCC